UAUGACAUAUGACAUUAAUACAUUGCAUGGUAAAUAAAUAAAAAUUAUGCAAAAAUAUUUUAAGAAUUUAAGAAUACAACAAUAAAAUAAGUUGUGUGGUGUAUAUGUAGUGUAUUUUUGUGUCAGAUAUCAGUAUCGUUAAACAAAAUAUUCAAUGUACAAAAAUUGUGGUUGGUUGGACAGUAUUAUGAUAUACAAUAAUCUAUUUUUUUCAGUAUUAAUAGAAUGACUUCUACGUAAUAAAUUUUAAAAAGUUGGGAUAUGGAUUUUCAUUGCCAUCAUCAGAGUGAAAGCGAUAAUGAACAUUCUUUACUUGAUGAUGAAAACACUAACAAGUCGUGUCUUAAAUGCAGGAGACAUAAUAAUAUCAAUGAACAAAUCCAUAGUGAUUUUUUAACCACUAAGUUAAUAUUGGGAGACAAUGGCUGUGAUGAUCACAAUUCUGAAGAUUCACCAUUAUUAAUAAAUCAUAAUGAUUGUUUUAGAGAAACUCUUGGAGAUACACAUAUUCACUGCCAUGAUUCUUUGGUUUCAAUUGAAGAUACUAAGGCUUUCACGAAGUUGAUAUUUGCGGCAUUGUUUUGUUUUCUUUUCAUGAUAGCCGAAUUGAUUGGAGGAUACUUGGCAGGCAGUCUGGCUGUGAUGACAGAUGCUGCCCAUUUAUUUUCUGAUUUAAUAGGUUUUCUUAUAUCAAUUUUGGCGAUAUGGUUAUCUAGAAAAUCUGCUACAAAAUACAUGACAUAUGGAUAUUAUAGAGCAGAAGUUCUUGGAGCUUUUUUAAGUGUUUUAACCAUAUGGUUUCUGGCGGCAGUUUUUCUGGUAUUGGCUUUAAGGAGGCUGUAUAAAGAGGAAUACAGUAUUAAUGCAAACACAAUGAUUAUGGUAGCAUCUUUGGGUUUAAUAGUCAAUAUUAUAAUGGGAGCAAUACUUCAUGGUGUUUGCCAUGCACAUAGUCAUGGUCCUACUCAAAGUUCUGAUAAUAUUAAUGUCAGAGCAGCUGCUGCACAUGUUUUAGGUGAUUUGUUGCAAAGUGUUGGCGUUUUGUUAGCCGCUACUAUAAUUAAGAUUUUCCCUGAGGCACAAGCAGCGGACCCUAUUUGUACUUUAAUUUUUUCUGUGAUCAUAAUAUUUACUACAGCCAAAGUAGCAAGAGACACUAUGUGGCUCUUAAUGCAAGGAGGUCCAAUUUCAAGAGAUAAAGUUAUUUUAGAAUUAAGAAAAAUUCCUGGAAUUAAACAUAUCCACGAUGUUAACAUUUGGUCAUUAUCACCUGGACGUAACAUUGUCACUGCACAUUUAGCUGUUGAUGACUACUGUGAUAAAGAUUUUAUUGUUCAAAGCGCCACAUCUCUAAUAAAAAGUCAAAUACCUAUUUAUAGUUGUACAGUUCAAGUUGAAAAUUAUAAUACAGAAGAAGUUCGUUCAUGUAAACAAUGUCAAAUAAGGGAAUGUUGAUGUAGAAUCACCUUUUUUCAACUCACUUGGAACAUUUGAAAUCUUCAACCAAAGAUUUGUCACUUUUGAACCUUGCAAGUGCCAAAUAUUGGUAUAGUAGAUCUCAAUGUUAAGCAAUAGCAUUACUUCUUAAAAACUAGUUUCCACAAUAUUCAAGGUAUUUUAAACAAAAAAUAAUUCCAAGUAUAUUUUUCUGGGAAAAAUAUUUUUUCUUUUUAUUUCUUAUAAAAAUAUUCUUAUUGACAACGCAAUUUUUUAAAAUUUAUUUAAAAUUUUAGGAAAUAAACGGAUAUAACAAUUAUAUACUGCGCUUUA